CCCCGUUCUGCGAUGCUUCGUCCGACAAGCGACGGCGGAACGAGGAAGCCGGUGAGAUUCCGGCACGGUACCGCCACUGUGUAGGGGGAGCGACUCCGCCCAUGGCCACCGUCCCGCGAGGGAUGGGAAGGCCGGAGAAGCUGUGAUCCCAAGUCAGGAGACUCACGCCGUCGCACCUCGAAGU
rnacentral:ncRNA from 2 species